GACAGAGGGUGCAAACGUUGCUCGGAAUCACUGGGCGUAAAGGGUGCGUAGGCGGGUCUUUUAAGUCAGGGGUGAAAUCCUGGAGCUCAACUCCAGAACUGCCUUUGAUACUGAAGAUCUUGAGUCCGGGAGAGGUGAGUGGAACUGCGAGUGUAGAGGUGAAAUUCGUAGAUAUUCGCAAGAACACCAGUGGCGAAGGCGGCUCACUGGCCCGGUACUGACGCUGAGGCACGAAAGCGUGGGGAGCAAACAGGG
rnacentral:rRNA from 1 species